UCUGGAUACAAUUAUAAGACAGAAUUGUUUCCUGGGCAACACUAGGAAUAUAAAAUUAGUUAGUCUAAGUCAUUUGGAAAGGAUUUAAAAAUUUUUUAAAGACCAUAAUUGAUGAGAGAUCACUGUCCCCCACCUAGUGACUAAGUUGCUUUGGAGGACCCUGAAAUGAUUAUCCUUUUUAUGGUUACCAUCGACAGAACCCUGGAGAAUGGGCAUUGCAAAAAGAAUCAGGAGGCAGGGAUAGUCAUUUUGCAUGGAAAUACAUAUGUUUCAGGCCGGUAGCUUGGUACACUGGCUUAUUAGUCAGGCGAAUGGCAAGACACUUUGUUGAGCAAUCUGCACCCUCCUCCGUAUGGCUUUCCCCCUUCCCUGGUCCUGCUGGUCCAACAGCUGACUAACGAAGCUGGAAGCACUGACUUACCCAGGCUUUCCGUUGUUGACCAGAAGCCAGGACUCGUUCUCAUUUUCAGACAACCUUGCAAAGUAACUGGUUUAUAUCCUUGCUUUGUGCACCUCUUGAAGUCUCUUAAUUUUACACAUUUUACAGAAGUUUGUGCAUCACACAUUUCUAAGUACUUGCCAUUUUCCACGCACCAUAAUAGGUACUGGAUGGUAUGAAGUUGAAUGACCCAAACUCCUUGACUUCCCGUUUUAUAUGAACUUCGAAAUGGAAGUUCACAUUUUUCAUUAUUAAAUUGGAAAGGAUCACAUGUUUACUUUUUGCUUGCCUCCUUAGGCUGUUUUCUUCUGCAACAAGAAAAUCACCCUGUCUGGAUAGAAUCUGUGGAAAGUACCCACAGAGGCAGCUGGCAUGACUGUGACAAGUUUCCAGGGCAAGCUUGUGGUUUGGGAGGCAUCUGUGUUUUAUGUGGUCUGGCGAUGGGCUGUUUGUUUCCCGUCUCUAGAGGCCGGCAGGGGCAACAAUGGACACGGUUGACUCUAGGAGUCCUGGCUCCUCAUGAAGUCACUUUCAGACUGCUGAAUGCAUUUCAGUCAGGGAACCUCUCACAAAUGAGGCCAAGUGAGGGCUGGGUUUUACAGCAGGCACUCGAGGGAGCUGGCAAGGACCCUGAAGUUUAUGAAGCCUUACUGUGCAGAUGGGAAUUGGCAGGAGCGAUAUUUUUCAAUGGAUACUCAACCAAUAGUAAGUAAAACACUUUUUCAAAAAGUGAGUAAAAGCCAGAAUUACAAAAUUUGUAGAAUGAAGAGACUAGGAAUUUGUAAGAUGAUGAUAUCCUAAGAGAAAUUGAGGUACAA
rnacentral:lncRNA from 1 species